rnacentral:rRNA from 1 species
UACGUAGGGGGCAAGCGUUGUCCGGAUUUAUUGGGUUUAAAGGGUGCGUAGGCGGUUCUAUAAGUCAGUGGUGAAAUCCGGCAGCUCAACUGUCGAUGUGCCAUUGAUACUGCAGGACUUGAGUACAGACGAGGUAGGCGGAAUUGACGGUGUAGCGGUGAAAUGCUUAGAUAUCGUCAAGAACACCGAUAGCGAAGGCAGCUUACUAGACUGUAACUGACGCUGAUGCACGAAAGUGUGGGGAUCAAACAGG